rnacentral:lncRNA from 1 species
UUUUAAUUCAAAAACGAGGAAAAUAAAUUUUGUUAUUAAAAAUAUAUCGAUAAACUUUAAUUAUUAAAUGUGAAUAGUAAAUUAAUAUGCCUUUUAAGUAGGUUUAUCUUUAAUUCUGACCAUUCGUUUCUGGAUAAGAUCGUUCAUCUAAUUUUCUGCACAUAGUUAAUUACGUAGUUAAACUCCAAGUGAGUGCAUAUUGUCAGAAGGUGGCAAGACUCAACGACCACCAAUUCGUUUUGCGAACUAUCAGAACAUCACUGCACUUACUGACAGGCAUGAGGACCUUGUGAAUCCCUCAGGAGGUAGUAAAUGACACGUGGGCCAAUUUACGGGCGCAUUUAGUCAACUAUGCUUCGUCCCUUAUACCUGCCUUUAUCACAGGAUGUGCUAGUUCCCAAUAUUCUGUUUUCUGUGCUUUUUGUGCAAAGUGUCGCUAGGACGUUACUCAAUCAGUUAAGAGCCCGGGAAGUACUGCUUUUUACCUUUAAGGGACACGCUGAUUGGUUUAUAUUGUUUAUUUUUAGAUGGAUUCCGUCUCAUCUCGGUUCCGAGUCCAUUUAUUGUGAAAAAAACGUGACACAGUCCGGUUCUGAAGCAUUCCGAAACGUCCAGACCUCUUAAAACGUAGAAGACGACUCUUUAAAGCGUCCGUAUUUCGUUUCCCAACAUUUCAAAACCUUAAGUAUUACCUAGAACGUAACGGGGAUCCCGUUGUAAAGUGUAUCCGGCCCACAAUUCCCGUUCUGCAUCCUGAGAGAAGCCCCUCACGACCCAAAAACCUAUUUGGGCGCUCACAUAAUUAUCACCGGAUCCCCCUCUUAACGAUAAUCUGGAUUUAGUAUAAUCCCAACAAACUAAGAGGAGUUUAUAAGGGCACAAAGCCCCAAGAAAUAUCCAAUAUUCGUGCGACCAACUUUUCCCAGUAUAGAUUGCUUGGGUUAGUUGCGAUAUCCACCCAGUAUACAUUGAUUAUGACGUAAUCUUUCCAGAAAUUCCACCGGAUGGGAACAGCUGUCCUUACUCUCUGUUGUCCAACUCACCAUGUGCCAAAAAUUAUAGACCCCCUCAGGCAAUUGAAAGAAGAAUGUUCCGCUGCCAUGUCUCGGAUGAGCUCAACCUCCUGUAGUUCCCCUACCUUCUUUUUAUCAAUCCCGUACGUUCAGGACAUGCACUCUAUAUUGUAUGCAUAUAGGGCUUUAGAUAGAUGCUAUCUUUGUUCGCGAGGUGUCCGGACACAAAACUCGGGAGGACCUCGCCCUCUACAUAUUACAGAUAUUCAUCUUUAUAAACUGACAGGUUUAUUAUAAAGGCCCGAGUAUAUACUAAAUUAUGUGGAUCCAUUUAUUUUUAUAAGUGAUAAUAUAGCAUUUAUACUCAUUUCUGACGGAGUUAUUUCUUUAUCAUAAUGAAAUUUUAUUUAUUAUUAUUCAAUCCAAUUUUAGAUUUUAAUAUUAUGUUCCGCAUUAUUAAGCAGAACUGAAUUUAAUCUGUUA